UAGUUGAAAAAUACUUUAAUUUAAAAAAAUCUUGAAAGUACAGACAGUGUAUCGAGUGUGUUGUACCAUGAAUACAAAAUAAAUAUAAAAUCCUAACUUUUUUAAACAUCAUGAAACAGAAGAUACAUGUAACUCAUCCUUUGUUAAGGAAGAAGGGCUUUUAUAACAGUUGAGGCAAUAGAUCAACAUUGGGAUUCUGUUCCCAGAUUUUCUGGGUGACCACUGGACAGCACCUAACAGUUGUGUUUCAGUAAACCUGUGUGAUAUCUCCAUAUAUCACAGGAGCACUGUGCAAGGAAACUCACUGUUGGCAAAGGGCUCAAAUAACAGCACUUGGGUUUGGUGGGUUUUGUUUAGGAAGUGCUUCCAAUGUUGCAACAGGCUUGGGAGCAUUGUUAAUGUCGGUACCAGCUAUCCACUAAACUAGUCAUCGUCUUUCUCAUGUUGCUGCACCUACCUUGGAUGUACUUGGUUGGUUCCUGCUCUGCUUCGAAUAGUGUUCACGCAUCCCUGGCAAAUGCUGGACCUCAGAGCUACACAGAACGUGGGUUGGUUUUGGUUGGUUUAUUUGAGGGUUUUUGGUUAGUGGUGUUUUUUCUGUGUUGGAGUAGGUGUAGCUGGUAUUGCCCUAAAUAAUUCAGUAAAAGGAACAGUGUCUGAAGAACGUAAUUGCCUAUUUUGAGGGGCUUUUACAUUUAACAUACCGCUUAGGUAAAGUAUUCUCUUAAGGUAUUAUUUGGACAUAUAAAUACAUAUUAUGUACUUAUGGAGGGAUAAUCAUUGUUACCUCAGUGAAGUGGAAAUCCAGACAAACUGUGGGUUUGAGCUAGGGCAAAUCUGAUUCUUCCCCCGGCCUCAAAUCACAUGGAUGGGAGUUCUUAGCUAACUACAGAGUACACUGCAAUAAACCUGUGUACUUGACAACAUGCAAAACCCACUAGGCAUCUCUUCAGAUAACCUUUUUUGACUAACCUGUAAUAAUUUUAAGUACUUCACGUUCAUGGUGGUAACACAGGCAAAGGUAAAAUACAUCUUUAGUCUACAAAGAUCAUUGUUUGGGGGGAGUUUCCAUUGUUCUCCCAAACCAUCACAGCUAAUGAGGCUUUCCUGCAUUUUCACAACAGCUAACACUGCCAGUCUCCUGCUAGUGACAGAACCCCCCAAGCCAAGCCCAGCUUCCAGAGCGUGGUGGUAUUAGCUGUGAAUUUGGUUCUCAGAGGUGAAUCUUCCUGCUUAGUGGCCUUCCGCAUCAGAACUCUCUUGCUGUUUUGAAUGUUGUGGACUUAACAGUAUUUUGGAUCACCUGCUAGAAAGGGCUUCUCUCUGCUAAACAUGCUAUAGAUUUGCAUAUGUAUUUAUAAAUUUAUGGCACAGAAGGCUGUUAAGUGUCUCUUCCUCUUAAAAUGAAGUUCAAUCAUUGUAAAGGAGAAAGAGACAUGUAAGGCUUUCAAGCACCAAAUCUGUCUCCUCUUUUAGACAGAGUUGCUCCUGGAAUGUGGUACAGCAGCACCUCUCAGCACUGUUAGAGGUAACAGAUUUUCUCCCUUGUCCAGCAAUGGACAAUGAGAAACCAUGGUCGUGCAUGCACCACUGAAGUCAUGCUGCAUCAUCAGGCAUGGUACAAAGAAAAGAGAUCCCUUUUAAAGCAUAUACAUCCUGGUCGGACAUGCCCUUCUGGAGAGCUGACUUGCUUCCCACCACUGGUAACCCCUUUUGGGUUUGGAAGAUCAGAUGGUGACAGAUUAAUGGUCUUCUGUUUUCUGCAGUGUGGAAGACAGUAAAGUAAAACAGUGAGGUGAGGACAGAAGAAUACAGAGAUAGUUUAAAGAACAAAAGAAGGAAAUGACCUCUGCAGGUGGGUGAAUGAGGGGACAUGAUCUACUCCCUAGCCUAGGAUUGUGAAAUACCUAACUUGAAAGAUACUUGACAGUCUAAAUUUUUCUCCCUUUUCUUUUCCUCCCCACACACCUUCUGUGUUCAGUCCCAAAAUGAAGGCUGAAGAAGGGGAGGCAGAAGCCAGGUAUCCUUCCCUCCUUGUUUUGCCAGGAAUUACUUUCUGCUUUUUACUGAAUGAGUAAACUGCUGAGUAUUUUGAGGACAGUGGAGCUCUAUGUGGGUUAUCUGUAUUCCUAGUUACAUGGUUACGGCAUCACGCCGGCUGUGCUGACAGCAGUUCCUCCAAGCAGCUGAAAACAGCCUCAGCCUUUGUUGUUUUUUCUAUGGCAUUGAGAGGCCUGGAAUGGACAGCAGCACCC
ensembl:lncRNA